CCUACGGGAGGCAGCAGUGGGGGAUCUUGCGCAAUGGGCGAAAGCCUGACGCAGCGACGCCGCGUGGGGGAUGAAGGCCCUCGGGUUGUAAACCCCUUUCGGCAGGGACGAAGCGAUCGUGACGGUACCUGCAGAAGAAGCCUCGGCUAACUACGUGCCAGCAGCCGCGGUAAGACGUAGGAGGCGAGCGUUGUCCGGAUUCAUUGGGCGUAAAGAGCGCGCAGGCGGCUCGGUCAGUCGGAUGUGAAAACCCGGGGCUCAACCCCGGGCAUGCAUCCGAUACUGCCGGGCUAGAGGUAGGUAGGGGAGAUCGGAAUUCCUGGUGUAGCGGUGAAAUGCGCAGAUAUCAGGAGGAACACCGGUGGCGAAGGCGGAUCUCUGGGCCUUACCUGACGCUCAGGCGCGAAAGCUAGGGGAGCGAACAGGAUUAGAUACCCUUG
rnacentral:rRNA from 2 species